UCUCUCUAAGACUCUUUGCCCUAAAAUAUUCUCUGCCUUCUCUAUAAAUUUCCAGCUCUCUGAACGGUUCAAUCUUGAGUUGGAAGGUGCUUAGACGUUCACCACACCGAAGGCUUCCUUUUGAACCGAUAGUAUUUUCGUUUGGACCGGGUUUGGAUUGAGUUCGCGUGUGUGAGAUACCAAAAAGGGGCGUCCUUGUGAGCUUGGUAAUACAACUCUAAGAAAUUGUUGAGGAGAUACUUUUGGAGCAAGAACUAGAGGACACUGAUGCUGUAGUGCAGUCUAGUUAGAAAUUUCCUAUUUGAACGCUUGAAGUGUUGAAUACUCUAAACUGUUUAAGUUUAAAAUUCUGUCUUCAUAUUUGGAUGACUGAAAUUCCGUACUUAAUUGCAAGUCAUACUCUAACUAUUCUCUAUG